rnacentral:lncRNA from 12 species
CCCACGCCCGCAGGAGGCCCGGGGGACUUGGGAACUAGGAAGGCCCACGGAGGCCCGGGGGGCUGGGAGGCUGGGGGCUGGGGGCUAGAGGCCGGGAGGCCCGCUCUGGGGGCUGGGGGCCCAUGCGGCCUCGGCCACUGAGCCGGCCUCUGUCCCGCGCCCGCCCUGUUGUGUGGCUUGGGGGGAAGCCAGGCCGUGGGGCGCAGUCGCUGGGCCAGGACUGGGCAGUGAGCGCCGGGGGCCCCCGCCCCGCUGGCUCAGCGCAGCCCCUCACCCUGGGCGUCGGGUCGGAGCGUCCUGCGUCCUGCCCCGUCCGCAGCCCCCCACGCCCGCCCCAGCGCCUGUGCCCCCCACACCGCUGUGCCCCCCGCCCCCUCCCUCCGGCCUUCAGGCUCUGACCCGCCCCCCCUUUCUGUCUCCACAGUCUGUUGCCUCACGAGUUCCAGCAGCAGAAAAGGCGAGUUUAUAGAAGAAAAAGAUCAAAGUUUUUGCUGGAAGAUGCUAUUCCCAGUAGCGACUUUACCUCCGCCUGGAGCACCAACCACCACCUGGCCAGCAUCUUUGACUUCUCGCUGGAUGAAAUUCAGAGCUUAAAAAGUGCCAGCUCAGGCCAGACCUUCUUCUCAGACGUGGACUCCACGGACGCCGCCAGCACCUCGGGCUCGGCUUCCACCAGCCUGUCCUACGACUCCAGGUGAGCCGGGGGCAGGAAGGCCUGUGGUCCGGGUCCCCCCACCGCUCCGCGGGCCUCGCCUGGGCCCUGGAGCCGCCCGGCCCGUGCGCAGUGGAACCGUCGGGCCCGAGCCACGGAGCCUGGCCUGUGCAGGGGACCCGCUCCCCGGCUGCCGCCCCGGGCUGUCCUGGGUCACCAAGGGAAGGAGCCAUCGCUCUGGAGGCCUGGAGGGGGCAGGCACCGCGGGGCGCGCCGGGGCGGGCAGGGGCCCUGGGGACCAUCCGGUCCUCGGCGGCCCUGCGUCCUGGCGUCUGCCCGCAUCCCUCCUCCCGCGUCCUGGGCUUGCGAGCUCUGUGGGGCUCGGGUCCUGCUCCCAAGCGCUCCUUCGUGUGCGUCGUGCCUGCACACCCCUUUCCGUCCCCGUGUGUGCGUGGCACACGCACCUCCCUGUCCGCAGCCCGGGCUCUGGCCAUCCGGCUCCCGGCCGCUCGGGGCGGUGCAGGCGGGGCCCCUCGGGACGCUGGGGACCCCGAUCGCUGCUCCGGGCCGGGCUCAGGGCCCCCUGCCUCGCCCCUGCAGGCGGACGGUGGGCAGCCGCAAGAGGAAGCUGGCGGCCAAGGCGUACGUGCCGCUGCGGGCCAAGCGGCGGGCGGCCGAGCCGGGCGGACGCUGCCCCUCCGACAGCAGCGCAGAGGUGGCGUCGGGCCCCGAGCGGCCGGACGAGGGCAUCGACAGCCACACGUUCGAGAGCAUCAGCGAGGACGACUCGUCCCUGUCCCACCUCAAGUCCUCCAUCACCAACUACUUCGGCGCGGCCGGGCGCCUGGCCUGCGGGGAGAAGUACCAGGUGCUGGCGCGGAGGGUCACGCCCGAGGGCAAGGUCCAGUACCUGGUGGAGUGGGAGGGCACCACCCCCUACUGAGCAGCCCCGGGCGGCGGCUCCUCGGGCCCCCAGCCCCCAGACUGUUGACCCGUGACCCCGGCUCCACGACCCCCGCCCCGAGGCCGUCCUCCUCCGAGUCCCGCCGUCCCCGCGCCUCUCUCCCGCGCGUGGGUGUGUUCACCACCUCCCCCGCAGGGCUGGCCUCCCCUGAUGUCCCCGGUGUCCCCGCACCUGACCCGGGGGUCACCCUGGGAGAGCAAGGACCUCUAAGCAUGGCCUUCCUGCCUGGCCCAGCCUGGCGGUGA